rnacentral:rRNA from 1 species
AGAGUUUGAUCCUGGCUCAGGAUGAACGCUAGCUACAGGCUUAACACAUGCAAGUCGAGGGGAAACGACAUCGAAAGCUUGCUUUUGAUGGGCGUCGACCGGCGCACGGGUGAAUAACGCGUAUCCAACCUGCCCAUCACUUGGGGAUAACCUUGCGAAAGUAAGACUAAUACCCAAUGAUAUCUCUAGAAGGCAUCUGAAAGAGAUUAAAGAUUUAUCGGUGAUGGAUGGGGAUGCGUCUGAUUAGCUUGUUGGCGGGGUAACGGCCACCAAAGCAACGAUCAGUAGGGGUUCUGAGAGGAAGGUCCCCCANAUUGGAACUGAGACACGGUCCAAAUCCUACGGGAGGCA